UAUUAACAAACAUCAGAUAAACAAACAUUACUCACCGCUGCCCUCUAAAGGUGUUAUUUAUAAACAUCAGAUAAACAAACAUUACUCACCGCUGCCCUCUAAAGGUGUUAUUUAUAAACAUCAGAUAAACAAACAUUACUCACCGCUGCCCUCUAAGAAUGUUAACAAACAUCAGAUAAACAAACACGACACACCGCUGCCCUCUAAAUUAACAAACAUCAAAAAGCACUGCUCACAGCCACCAUCUAAAAGCAAAACUGACAUCAAAUAAACAAACAUUAUUAUGAAAGUAAAAGUCUUAAGUGGCAGAUCUGCUAUCUAUAAUAGUAGCUCUCAACUGACGACAGACACAGCUUGAGCUCAAAUAAUCAUUCAUCGCUGCCCUCUGCCACCCUCUAAAGCAAAGUGAAGAUGCCCACCACUUCCUCCUAAAGUAAAUAAAGGUGUUAUUAACGAACAUCAAAUAAGAACAACUGGAAAACAAUUAGUCAUCUUACAUAACUGCGGACAGGUGAUGAUGUAAUAAUUGUGACAGGCCUAAUUGUAGUGAUGUUUAAUCAUAAAGCUAAGAUCUGUAGCACUAAUUAAUUAACAUUAAUUACAAUGUUACCUUCUAAUGGGCUGAUAUGUGGCAGAAUGUCAGGUGUUUAUUUGUAGGUUAAGGGGCCAAGUGACUACAAAAGCCAAGUAAUUAUCAGUGAACAAGGCAGCAUAUGCAGUGCAUACAAGGCAAGCUAUAGUCUUGCACUUGUAUAAUUAUGAGUUAUAAUAUUACAAUGUUCAUACGUUUUAAUGAUUGUUAAUUUAUAAUAGUCGCAAUGUAGUAAAUGACCUCUCUCUGCAAGAACUGAGUGUUUCCUUUGGGUGCAACACAGGCUUGUAACCACAAGAGGGCAAACUUGCCAUAACAGAAUCAUUGAAAUGCUCAUGCUCAUAUUUUUAGUGGAAAUAUUUGUGAAUGUUUGCGUUUUAAAGCUAAUGGUCAGCUCUGAAAAUUUCAGCGUGGCAUUAUGUAUCAUUGCUGUCCAGGAAAAAUAAACAUGCACCUUUUUUUAACACUAAAUGUCUCUUUACGUUAACUUACAUUAAAAGAACGUUGCUACCUUCUUUUAAAGUUACAACGUUGGAAAUGCAUGUUAGGCUUUUUUCGGACAGCAGUGAUAUGCACUUUGUAUAGUGUGUUUACCUUAAUGAGUUUAGGUCCACAGUGACAAUGACUCAUUUUGUUCAGUGUGCUCAGGAAUCAGAAUCACUUUAUUGCCAAGUAUGACGAGCAGAUAAUCUGCUUUGGCAAUGUUGGGAAUGACAGUCAACAUUCAAGAACAUACAGUAUGUUCUACUGACAUGUGCCAGUAGAACAUACAUUCAUCCAGACAUGCUCAUUCAUACAUUAUGCAGUGAUGAAAGGGGAAAACUCACAACAGGCCUCAUUCACUGAAUUUAAGAAGAAACUUAGGAAGAAAUUGAUGAAUGAGGCCCAUUGUUUUUCUUCAAAGAAGAUGGGUUGCACGAUAUAUUGUUUAUUAAUCAUUAUCAUGAUACUGACCUUUCCAAUACUGAUGUUGCAGAAGGCUGCCACAUGCAAAAAAGCCCACUAACCAACCAGUGUUUUUUCUGUGUGCUGUAAAAAUUGACCAAUUUUCAAGUUCAAAAUAAGUGUUCCUGUCAGCGUUUUGAUGAAUCAACAAGAUACUAAUAAAAACUGAUUAUUUUUCAUA